rnacentral:pre_miRNA from 1 species
UCUGAGUGGAAUGUUGUCUGGUUCAAGGUCUAACUUUGUGGUUUGAGGAUGAUUUGCGUAAAGUUUUUCAUUCCUCUCUUUCACGGGAUCUCGGACCAGGCUUCAUUCCCCUCAGA